UACGUAGGAGGCGAGCGUUGUCCGGAAUUACUGGGCGUAAAGGGCUCGUAGGCGGCCAACUAAGUCAGACGUGAAAUCCCUCGGCUUAACCGGGGAACUGCGUCUGAUACUGGAUGGCUUGAGUUUGGGAGAGGGAUGCGGAAUUCCAGGUGUAGCGGUGAAAUGCGUAGAUAUCUGGAGGAACACCGGUGGCGAAGGCGGCAUCCUGGACCAACACUGACGCUGAGGAGCGAAAGCCAGGGGAGCAAACGGG
rnacentral:rRNA from 1 species